rnacentral:rRNA from 1 species
UACGUAGGGGGCAAGCGUUGUCCGGAAUUAUUGGGCGUAAAGAGCGUGUAGGCGGCCCGAUUAGUCCGCUGUGAAAGUCGGGGGCUCAACCCUCGAAUGCCGGUGGAUACUGUCGGGCUAGAGUGCGGAAGAGGCGAGUGGAAUUCCUGGUGUAGCGGUGAAAUGCGCAGAUAUCAGGAGGAACACCUAUUGCGAAGGCAGCUCGCUGGGACGUAACUGACGCUGAGACGCGAAAGCGUGGGGAGCAAACAGG